rnacentral:rRNA from 1 species
CGGUGCAUUUGCAGGUGGAGUGCGCCGAGGCGCUCGGUGCAGCGGCAUGAGCUCGGUUUUGAGGCCAGCGCCGCAAGGUGUCUGGUACCCGGUCCGUGGGAGUGCUGUUUGUGCUGGGUGACAAUUGUGUGGGCAAUGGAAUCGGGCUCGUGUGGGCGCCGAGCUGGCAGUCGGCGGCGGUCGCGUGCGACACGUGCCAGCGGUCAGUUCGGUCCUGCUCGAGCUCUCAUCUGCUCGUCCUCGGUGUAAAAGCCGGUCAUCUGUCCGACCCGUCUUGAAACACGGACCAAGGAGUUUAGCGUGUGCGCGAGUCAUUGGGCGUUGAAAACCCAAAGGCGCAAUGAAAGUGAAGGUCUCCCUUGCGGAGCUGAUGUGUGAUCCUGGACACUGCGGUGCACUCCGGGCGCAACAUAGUCCCGUCCCGAUCGCUUGCGAUGGGGCGGAGACAGAGCGUACGCGCUGAGACCCGAAAGAUGGUGAACUAUUCCUGAGCAGGAUGAAGCCAGAGGAAACUCUGGUGGAAGUCCGAAGCGAUUCUGACGUGCAAAU